GAGGUCCACACGCUACGUUUUACCGACCCUAAAGCCCAGCAAGGUGCAGGUUUGUUUUUUUCCCUGCCAUGCUAAGUCAAGUUACACCAUCCAAACUACAUUUCCAUGAGCUGGGACCCUGCAGCAAGUGGAAGCGACCUCAAGGCCACCCUCCACCUCCUUAGUUCAACACUGGUGAAAGAACUGCUCAGAUCUAAUUUGAGAUAGGAUUUUCCUUGUGACUGCGGUCUCCUUUGGGAAUGGCCACAUGAAUUAUUUCAAAGACCGGGUGUGAAGUUUGGAUGGUCCAGUGUCAUUUGUGUACUUUCCAUGCCAUCAGAGCAACUUCCAUGUAACUGCCACCUUUCCCAGGAGACUGUUUUUAAGUCAAUAAAAUUAUGGAGGACACAGGUAUGGCUUCUAUGGCUGACAAGAAGAAAUGAAAAACAGUGUAAUGCUUCGGCUCAUAGAGAAGGUUUGGCCAAAGGACUUUGCGAUGAUGGCCAAGUAGAAUAAAACUUACCAAUAAAUAGUUGAAGAAUCUACUGCAAUUACUGUCCUGUGAAUCCAGAAGUAUUUUACUUAAUACUAAUGAUCUUGAUACUGGUAC